UGUCUCUUGAGUUUUUGAGAAUGAUUUUAGUCUGUUGCUCUUCAUUAACCUAACCGUAAAACUACUACUAUCUUUCAAGUGCCUGAAGUUCCUCAAGAAGUUGUCCCAGAAAAGAAAGUUCCUAAGGCACCGCCCCAAAAACCGGAAGCCCCACCUGUCACAGUGCCUGAAGUUCCCAAAGAAGUUGUCCCAGAAAAGAAAGUUCCUAAAACACUGCCCCAAAAACCGGAAGUCCCACCUGUCACAGUGCCUGAAGUUCCCAAAGAAGUUGUCCCAGAAAAGAAAGUUCCUAAGUCACCGCCCAAAAAACCGGAAGUCCCACCAGUUUCAGUGACUGAAGUUCCUCAAGAAAUUGUCCCUGAAAAGAAAGCACCAGCGGCACCUCCUAAAAAACCGGAAGCCCCACCUA